GCGGUGCUAUACAUGCAAGUCGAGCGGACAGAAGGGAGCUUGCUCCCGGAUGUUAGCGGCGGACGGGUGAGUAACACGUGGGUAACCUGCCUGUAAGACUGGGAUAACUCCGGGAAACCGGAGCUAAUACCGGAUAGUUCCUUGAACCGCAUGGUUCAAGGAUGAAAGACGGUUUCGGCUGUCACUUACAGAUGGACCCGCGGCGCAUUAGCUAGUUGGUGAGGUAACGGYUCACCAAGGCGACGAUGCGUAGCCGACCUGAGAGGGURAUYGGCCMCMCUGGGACUGAGMCACGGCCCAGACUCCUACGGGAGGCAGCAGUAGGGAAUCUUCCGCAAUGGACGAAAKUCUGACGGAGCAACGCCGCGUGAGUGAUGAAGGUUUUCGGAUCGUAAAGCUCUGUUGUUAGGGAAGAACAAGUGCAAGAGUAACUGCUUGCACCUUGACGGUACCUAACCAGAAAGCCACGGCUAACUACGUGCCAGCAGCCGCGGUAAUACGUAGGUGGCAAGCGUUGUCCGGAAUUAUUGGGCGUAAAGGGCUCGCAGGCGGUUUCUUAAGUCUGAUGUGAAAGCCCCCGGCUCAACCGGGGAGGGUCAUUGGAAACUGGGAAACUUGAGUGCAGAAGAGGAGAGUGGAAUUCCACGUGUAGCGGUGAAAUGCGUAGAGAUGUGGAGGAACACCAGUGGCGAAGGCGACUCUCUGGUCUGUAACUGACGCUGAGGAGCGAAAGCGUGGGGAGCGAACAGGAUUAGAUACCCUGGUAGUCCACGCCGUAAACGAUGAGUGCUAAGUGUUAGGGGGUUUCCGCCCCUUAGUGCUGCAGCUAACGCAUUAAGCACUCCGCCUGGGGAGUACGGUCGCAAGACUGAAACUCAAAGGAAUUGACGGGGGCCCGCACAAGCGGUGGAGCAUGUGGUUUAAUUCGAAGCAACGCGAAGAACCUUACCAGGUCUUGACAUCCUCUGACAACCCUAGAGAUAGGGCUUUCCCUUCGGGGACAGAGUGACAGGUGGUGCAUGGUUGUCGUCAGCUCGUGUCGUGAGAUGUUGGGUUAAGUCCCGCAACGAGCGCAACCCUUGAUCUUAGUUGCCAGCAUUCAGUUGGGCACUCUAAGGUGACUGCCGGUGACAAACCGGAGGAAGGUGGGGAUGACKYCAAAUCAUCAUGCCCCUUAUGACYKGGGCUAYACMCSUGCUACAAUGGACAGAACAAAGGGCUGCGAGACCGCMARGUUUAGCCAAUCCCAMAAAUYUGUUCYCARUUCGGAUCGCAGUCUGCAMCUCGACYSCGKGAARCUGGAAYCGCUAGUAAUCGCGGAUCAGCAUGCCGCGGUGAAUACGUUCCCGGGCCUUGUACACACCGCCCGUCACACCACGAGAGUUUGCAACACCCGAAGUCGGUGAGGUAACCUUUAUGGAGCCAGCCGCCGAAGUGGCAAAGGG
rnacentral:rRNA from 1 species